rnacentral:lncRNA from 1 species
UUGUGAUUAUCUAGCUGUGGUUUGGACUCGGCAGAGUUGGCACUGGAAACCCGAGUAGAGUCCUUGCCAGCAGAACUAAUCCCAAUUGAAAGCUCCAAAUUUAACUCUUGCCCAUGACUUGGAUACUUGUCCUUGUGUUGUUGUUGUUGGCGGUGGUGUAGAUGUUGUUGUAGUUCUUCGUCUGUAGUCGUGCCACUGCUGGUACAGUUGCCUUCUUCAAGAGACUCUGCCUUGGCCUUAACUUGAAAUUCACUGUAUUUAAAAUCCAGAGAUGGGGUUGUAAUGAAGUUGGCUUUUCCAACUUUGG